ACCUGCCUGUAUAUGGGCUGCAUGCUUAUAAGCAACAUGUGGAUGUCGAUGUCGCAUUAAGAGAAACAUCAGCAGGGAAAUUAUGCUAUUCCCAUUUUCUGCUUGGCCAUGGUCAAGAAACAUAAACUACAACACACAAACAGAGAGAGAUAUGUCACAUGUUGCAUUUUUCUUUUCGAUAGUUAGUUUUAUUUUCGAUUAGCUAACAAAUGCUCGGCGCCAGCAGACGAAGAACAACUCAAAGGUAAGAAAAAGACAAAGACAAAACAAAGUGGGCACCGUCUUCUCAGAAUGCAUAAUCACUGGCCACACCAAAACGAGUGGAAUGCCCGUGAGAUGCGAAACUCCGUUAAUAACGGACUGUACCGCCAGCCCAGGCUGAGCGUUGCUGAAGUGAGGACUGGCUUGUAUGCCGCAUGUGGAGAGAGAGAAAGCAAUUCUUCAGAUGAAUUUUGAAGAAUUGCUUUUUCGUCAAACGGAAAAUUUAAUGUUUCAUUAUUUUUGGAGGAGAACUAAAAAAAAUAAAUAAAUAAAUAAGGGCGCUGACUCUGUCCUGAGGACCUAGCCUCUC